CCGUGCUUUACAGUUGAUAUGAAGUGAUUGUCCUUAAUGGUGUCAUUUGGGAAUAGUCUCUCUCUCUUGAACUUCAGACAAUUUGGAAAUGACCUUACAACCCCUCCCAGAAUCAUGGGCAGCAACGUUUGCUUCUGUAAGAAGCCUCCUCGUGGAACCUGAGAAACAACCUGCAGACCUUUGAAGAGUUAGAUAUCCAACCUGUGGAAGAAGUUUCUGGCUUGCCAACGUCCCCAGUCUGCUCUCACUUUGACCAUGUUGAGAUGUGAUGUUACACUGAAUAAACCUUCAUUUCAGGUGGAUCCCUCCAAUCGAACCCUGACACCUGCAGCUGAAGCUCCUGCUGCAUCCGGUCGACCAGAGAAACCUGGACGAUGCUGUGGAGAUGAAGAACUUUGUGUCUCACAGGUUGAAGCCGAAAAUGUAACAUUUCUCUAUUUAUUUUCUGUUUUCACACCAAAUGUUUGGGCCGCCCAGGUUCUGUACAGCUACUGUCACCGUUUAUCUCAGUGUGCAACACAAGUUAUUUCAGAAGUUCAGUUGUAUACAUUCAUUCCAGACAGAGAGAUGUAUUUCAAGCAUUUACUGUUAUUGCUGAUGACUGCGACUUAGCGGACCAGUGGGCCUACUGAACGGCAUGUCCAAGUACUCCACACUGUCUGUACUCAAUAAA